rnacentral:rRNA from 1 species
GAUCAGUGGCUCGAGGACGACGCUGGCGGCGUGCCUAACACAUGCAAGUCGAACGGGGUUACCCUUCGGGGUAACUUAGUGGCGAACGGGUGAGUAACGCGUGAGAAACCUGCCUCUCAGUGGGGGACAACAGUUAGAAAUGACUGCUAAUACCGCAUAAGCGCACAGGACCGCAUGGUCUGGUGUAGAAAAACUCCGGUGGUAUGAGAUGGACCCGCGUCUGAUUAGCUAGUUGGUGGGUAACGGCCCACCAAGGCGACGAUCAGUAGCCGACCUGAGAGGGUGACCGGCCACAUUGGGACUGAGACACGGCCCAAACUCCUACGGGAGGCAGCAGUGGGGAAUAUUGCACAAUGGGCGAAAGCCUGAUGCAGCGACGCCGCGUGAGCGAAGAAGUAUUUCGGUAUGUAAAGCUCUAUCAGCAGGGAAGAAAAUGACGGUACCUGACUAAGAAGCACCGGCUAAAUACGUG